AAACGCUGGGUUAUUUUAAUAACCCAAUUGCUGGGUUAAGGCUGUUGGGUUAUAGGUUGGGUAGAUUUGACCCAACGUUGGGUCAAAGAUUGUGACCCAACACGAUGGGUUAAAUGAAAGCGAGGCUCGUUCUUCCGCCAUUUCUGGACAGAAGGCGCCAGGACGUCAACGACCAUAGCUGCCGGAUUCAAGUCCCAGCCCCGAACCGGCUGCCUUCAGAGCAACACAGAGCUUCUUUGGAACAAGGAGCAACAUUUAAUAUCCAUGAGAUCCUUAAGACAGCUGAUGGAA